rfam:Felis catus isolate Cinnamon breed Abyssinian chromosome B2, whole genome shotgun sequence.
GGAGGCAAUGGCGAUCUGGCUGUGACAUCUGUCACCGCAUUGAUCACCAGGGUUCAUUUGGCUGAACUGGCGGGCGCUCUCUCGGUGGAAGAAGAUGAUCUUCCUUCUCCGAGAGAGGAGGACUGCUCUUUGGUCAAGGGUAUACUAGCUGCGCCCCUUGCUAGACCUCCAAACACGCCCUCGAUGUCCGUUUGGGGGAGAACGUAGGGUAGUCAGGCUUCCAGGACCCCAGCCUGACGGUGGCAGGCUGCCUUUCUUU